rnacentral:rRNA from 1 species
AUUGAACGCUGGCGGCAGGCCUAACACAUGCAAGUCGAGCGGAUGAAGGGAGCUUGCUCCUGGAUUCAGCGGCGGACGGGUGAGUAAUGCCUAGGAAUCUGCCUGGUAGUGGGGGAUAACGUCCGGAAACGGGCGCUAAUACCGCAUACGUCCUGAGGGAGAAAGUGGGGGAUCUUCGGACCUCACGCUAUCAUAUGAGCCUAGGUCGGAUUAGCUAGUUGGUGGGGUAAAGGCCUACCAAGGCGACGAUCCGUAACUGGUCUGAGAGGAUGAUCAGUCACACUGGAACUGAGACACGGUCCAGAGUCCUACGGGAGGCAGCAGUGGGGAAUAUUGGACAAUGGGCGAAAGCCUGAUCCAGCCAUGCCGCGUGUGUGAAGAAGGUCUUCGGAUUGUAAAGCACUUUAAGUUGGGAGGAAGGGCAGUAAGUUAAUACCUUGCUGUUUUGACGUUACCAACAGAAUAAGCACCGGCUAACUUCGUG